GGCCAGUUAGCUCAGUCAGUAGAGCAUAGCGGUAACAGCGUUAAGGUCACGGGUUCGAUUCCCGUUUGGUCCA
rnacentral:tRNA from 1 species